AUUGAACGCUGGCGGCAUGCCUUACACAUGCAAGUCGAACGGUAACAGGUCUUCGGAUGCUGACGAGUGGCGAACGGGUGAGUAAUGCAUCGGAACGUGCCCAGUAGUGGGGGAUAGCCCGGCGAAAGCCGGAUUAAUACCGCAUACGACCUGAGGGUGAAAGGGGGGGAUCGCAAGACCUCUCGCUAUUGGAGCGGCCGAUGUCAGAUUAGCUAGUUGGUGGGGUAAAGGCCUACCAAGGCAACGAUCUGUAGUUGGUCUGAGAGGACGACCAGCCACACGGGGACGGAAACACGGCCCAGACUCCUACGGGAGGCAGCAGUGGGGAGUUUUGGACAAUGGGCGCAAGCCUGAUCCAGCAAUGCCGCGUGAAGGAAGAAGGCCUUCGGGUUGUAAUCUGCUUUUGUCAGGGAAGAAAUCUUCUGGGUUAAUACCUCGGGAGGAUGACGGUACCUGAAGAAUAAGCACCGGCUAACUACGUGCCAGCCGCCGCGGUAAAAC
rnacentral:rRNA from 1 species